UCCUCUCCGUUUCUUCCCCUCGCGCACCCGAUGCCUUUCUUCCCCGUGCCCUCACCUGCGCCUCUCUUCUCCCUCAUUCUCGACCCCGGCGCCGAAAAGCCCUAACCGCUCGGCUGCGGUUUCCUUCUCUUCUCUUUUCUCCCGACGCCGAUCCCACCUCUUCUCCUUCCUCUCGGCGCCGACCACCUAUUCCUCUUCUUCCCGAGGCCGAUCGAUUUCCUCUCCUCUGCCCGACGCCAACUCGAGCCAUUCUUCAUCGAGCGACCGCCGACCGAGCCUGCUUCCAUCUCUUUGCGGACACCAGGGGCCGUCGGAAAUCGAGCAUCUGAACCCUAGGUCUGGUUCCUGGGCGUCGGCCGAAGAUUUCCUUCCUCCUCCGGCCGUGCGAGCACAAGGGAUGCAGAUCCCUUGCCGACAGCCGAUUUCCCUUCAUCUUCCGGCCACUGCUUUGCACUCCUCAGCCUUGUUGCCGGUCACCGUGUUGUUCCUCUGUGCUGUGCCCUAGAUUUUCUUGUUCUGCCGGAUUCAAAACCAGACAGUGGUGAGGGAUCAGUUAUCAGCGGCUGAGGGAAAACGAUUGGCACUAUUGUAGGUACGGCAGAUUUGGUUCCGAUGAUCCCGCUUCGGCGGUGACGCCCUCGGGCCGUAUCCCACCAGCGGUCACUUGAUUGUGAAUUGAGGACUUUGAUUCGAGACGGUGUCUCGACGAGGAUUUAUUCGGAUACGAUCUUUCUUAUU